rnacentral:rRNA from 1 species
AGAGUUUGAUCAUGGCUCAGAUUGAACGCUGGCGGCGUGCCUAACACAUGCAAGUCGAGCGGUAACAGGUGUAGCAAUACAUGCUGACGAGCGGCGAACGGGUGAGUAAUGCUUCGGAAUCUACCCAAUGGUGGGGAAUAACCAGCCGAAAGGUUGGCUAAUACCGCAUAAGUCCUACGGGGGAAAGCAGGGGAUCGCAAGACCUUGCGCCGAUGGAUGAGCCGAAGCCGGAUUAGCUAGUUGGUAGGGUAACGGCCUACCAAGGCGACGAUCCGUAGCUGGUCUGAGAGGACGACCAGCCACACUGGGACUGAGACACGGCCCAGACUCCUACGGGAGGCAGCAGUGGGGAAUAUUGGACAAUGGGGGAAACCCUGAUCCAGCGACGCCGCGUGUGUGAAGAAGGCCUGCGGGUUGUAAAGCACUUUUAGUGGGGAUGAAAAGCUCAGGGCUAAUAUCUCUGGGUCUUGACCUAACCUACAGAAAAAGCACCGGCUAACUCUGUGCCAGCAGCCGCGGUAAUACAGAGGGUGCAAGCGUUAAUCGGAAUUACUGGGCGUAAAGCGUGCGUAGACGGUUAUGUAAGUCGGGUGUGAAAGCCCCGGGCUCAACCUGGGAAUGCCAUUCGAGACUGCAUAGCUAGGGUGCGGAAGAGGGAAGCGGAAUUUCCGGUGUAGCGGUGAAAUGCGUAGAUAUCGGAAGGAACACCAGUGGCGAAAGCGGCUUCCUGGUCCAGCACCGACGUUCAGGCACGAAAGCGUGGGGAGCAAACAGGAUUAGAUACCCUAGUAGUCC